GAUGAACGCUGGCGGCGUGCCUAAUACAUGCAAGUCGAGCGAACAGAUGAGGAGCUUGCUCCUCUGACGUUAGCGGCGGACGGGUGAGUAACACGUGGAUAACCUACCUAUAAGACUGGGAUAACUUCGGAAAACCGGAGCUAAUACCGGAUAAUAUAUUGAACCGCAUGGUUCAAUAGUGAAAGACGGUUUUGCUGUCACUUAUAGAUGGAUCCGCGCCGCAUUAGCUAGUUGGUAAGGUAACGGCUUACCAAGGCAACGAUGCGUAGCCGACCUGAGAGGGUGAUCGGCCACACUGGAACUGAGACACGGUCCAGACUCCUACGGGAGGCAGCAGUAGGGAAUCUUCCGCAAUGGGCGAAAGCCUGACGGAGCAACGCCGCGUGAGUGAUGAAGGUCUUCGGAUCGUAAAACUCUGUUAUUAGGGAAGAACAAAUGUGUAAGUAACUAUGCACGUCUUGACGGUACCUAAUCAGAAAGCCACGGCUAACUACGUG
rnacentral:rRNA from 1 species